rnacentral:rRNA from 1 species
AUUGAACGCUGGCGGCAUGCCUUACACAUGCAAGUCGAACGGCAGCACGGGAGCAAUCCUGGUGGCGAGUGGCGAACGGGUGAGUAAAGUAUCGGAACGUGCCCAGUCGUGGGGGAUAACGUAGCGAAAGUUACGCUAAUACCGCAUACGAUCUAUGGAUGAAAGCGGGGGAUCGCAAGACCUCGCGCGAUUGGAGCGGCCGAUAACAGAUUAGGUAGUUGGUGGGGGAAGGGCUCACCAAGCCGACGAUCUGUAGCUGGUCGGGGAGGACGACCAGCCACACUGGGACUGAGACACGGCCCAGACUCCUACGGGAGGCAGGAGUGGGGAAUUUUGGACAAUGGGCGAAAGCCUGAUCCAGCCAUGCCGCGUGCAGGAUGAAGGCCUUCGGGUUGUAAACUGCUUUUGUACGGAACGAAAAGGUUUGGCCUAAUAAGCUGAGCUCAUGACGGUACCGUAAGAAUAAGCACCGGCUAACUACGUGCCAGCAGCCGCCGUAA